CCUACGGGUGGCAGCAGUGGGGAAUAUUGCACAAUGGGGGAAACCCUGAUGCAGCGACGCCGCGUGAGUGAAGAAGUAUUUCGGUAUGUAAAGCUCUAUCAGCAGGGAAGAAAAUGACGGUACCUGAUUAAGAAGCCCCGGCUAACUACGUGCCAGCAGCCGCGGUAAUACGUAGGGGGCAAGCGUUAUCCGGAUUUACUGGGUGUAAAGGGAGCGUAGACGGUGAUGCAAGUCAGAAGUGAAAGCCCGGGGCUCAACUCCGGGACUGCUUUUGAAACUGUGUGACUGGAGUGCAGGAGAGGUAAGCGGAAUUCCUGGUGUAGCGGUGAAAUGCAUAGAUAUCACGCAGAACCCCGAUUGCGAAGGCAGCCUUCCGGCGCCCUACUGACGCUGAGGCACGAAAGUGCGGGGAUCGAACAGGAUUAGAUACCCCAGUAGUC
rnacentral:rRNA from 1 species